rnacentral:rRNA from 1 species
UACAGAGGGGGCUAGCGUUGUUCGGAAUCACUGGGCGUAAAGCGCGCGUAGGCGGCGAUCCAAGUCGGGGGUGAAAGCCCGGGGCUUAACCCCGGAACUGCCCUCGAAACUGGGUCGCUUGAGAAUGGUAGGGGAUAGUGGAAUUCCUAGUGGAGGAGUGAAAUCCGUAGAUAUUAGGAGGAACACCAGUGGCGAAGGCGGCUAUCUGGGCCAUUUCUGACGAUAAGGCGCGAAAGAGUGGGGAGCAAACAGG